AUACAGGUACAUAGAUAUACAUACACAUAUGUAGAUUGAUUUAUUAAGACUCUUACUAUACCUCAAUAGUCGAAUCAUUAAACAUAAUGAGUUUCUAAAGCAACUUUCCCAUUGGAGUUUAACUACCAUGGGCCCUCAUCUCCUUGUCUUCUUCAUCUGCGCAGCGAUUCCCGUAGAAUUUGUACUGGCCACUGAGGUUUGUGGAGACCUUCUGCACGACAAGUCGUCUCCACCGCGACGCCUCCACGCCUUCAGAAGCUCCUGUUAUGAGUUUGUGGAGGAAUCUCUGGACUGGUUCCAGGCAGAGGACGCCUGCCAGGACAGGGGGGGCGAGCUCCUGGAUGUCGUCGACAGCAAGGGUUUCCUCCAGAGCCUCAAGGAAGGGAAUCUGGAGUCUACCCUGACCUGGUGGCUCGGACAGGGGGUUGAAGAAAAGGACCGUGUACCCCCCAUGGAGUCUACAGAACUGGAGGCUUCGAGGGGCGCCUCCUUAUUCCUUUGUACCUACCUGGACCCCAAGAAUAACCUGGUGACAUCCAAGGAAUGUGACAAGAGGCGGGGCUACCUCUGCUUUCUGGAUAUACUGCCUACAGAAGAAGCAACGGAUGAAAAACGAAAAACUCGUUUUGCAAGAGAUGUACCAUGGAUUGAAAGAGUUCUUGAGCAAUCUGAUCAGGAUCUAUUUUUUAUGGAAACAAAUGAAUGGAGCAGUGAUAGGAGGAGCACCUUCAUCACCAGACUUGCAAAAGCUGUGUGGGCGAUGGAGCCAGAAUAUGCGACCACUCACAAUCUGACCAUCAGCCACAUUAUUAACUGCUGCAAGGCCAUCAGACGUCUGUCAGAGAAGAAGUGUGAUAUCGACACAAACCCUUACCCCC
ensembl:lncRNA